AACGAACGCUGGCGGCAGGCUUAACACAUGCAAGUCGAACGCCCCGCAAGGGGAGUGGCAGACGGGUGAGUAACGCGUGGGAAUCUACCCAGUUCUACGGAACAACUGAGGGAAACUUCAGCUAAUACCGUAUGCGCCCUACGGGGGAAAGAUUUAUCGGAAUUGGAUGAGCCCGCGUUAGAUUAGCUAGUUGGUGGGCUAAUGGCCUACCAAGGCGACGAUCUAUAGCUGGUCUGAGAGGAUGAUCAGCCACACUGGGACUGAGACACGGCCCAGACUCCUACGGGAGGCAGCAGUGGGGAAUAUUGGACAAUGGGCGCAAGCCUGAUCCAGCCAUGCCGCGUGAGUGAUGAAGGCCUUAGGGUUGUAAAGCUCUUUCAGUGGGGACGAUAAUGACGGUACCCACAGAAGAAGCCCCGGCUAACUUCGUGCCAGCCGCCGCUGUAACAC
rnacentral:rRNA from 1 species